rnacentral:rRNA from 1 species
CUGAGGCGCGAAAGCGUGGGGAGCAAACAGGAUUAGAUACCCUGGUAGUCCACGCCGUAAACGAUGAGUGCUAGGUGUUGGGGGGUACCACCCUCAGUGCCGAAGCUAACGCAUUAAGCACUCCGCCUGGGGAGUACGGUCGCAAGACUGAAACUCAAAGGAAUUGACGGGGGCCCGCACAAGCAGUGGAGCAUGUGGUUUAAUUCGAAGCAACGCGAAGAACCUUACCAGGACUUGACAUCCCGCUGACCGGUCUAGAGAUAGACUUUCCCUUCGGGGCAGCGGUGACAGGUGGUGCAUGGUUGUCGUCAGCUCGUGUCGUGAGAUGUUGGGUUAAGUCCCGCAACGAGCGCAACCCUUACAUUGUGUUGCCAUCAUUUGGUUGGGCACUCACAAUGGACUGCCGGUGACAAACCGGAGGAAGGUGGGGAUGACGUCAAAUCAUCAUGCCCCUUAUGUCCUGGGCUACACACGUGCUACAAUGGGCGGUACAAAGGGAUGCGAAACCGCGAGGUGGAGCCAAUCUCAUAAAGCCGUUCGUAGUUCG